GACGAACGCUGGCGGCGUGCCUAACACAUGCAAGUCGAACGAGAUCCAUCGUGUGGCAACACACGUGAAGAUCUAGUGGCGAACGGGUGAGUAACACGUGAGGAACCUGCCCCGAAGACCGGGAUAACUCUUCGAAAGGAGAGCUAAUACCGGAUACCCCCAUCUGGCCGCAUGGCCGGAUGAGGAAAUGGAUUCCGCUUCGGGAGGGCCUCGCGGCCUAUCAGCUUGUUGGCGGGGUAACGGCCCACCAAGGCAUCGACGGGUAGCUGGUCUGAGAGGGCGAUCAGCCACACUGGGACUGAGACACGGCCCAGACUCCUACGGGAGGAAGCAGUGGGGAAUCUUGCGCAAUGGGCGAAAGCCUGACGCAGCCAUGCCGCGUGAAUGAUGAAGGUCUUAGGAUUGUAAAAUUCUUUCACCGGGGACGGUAAUGACGGUACCCGGAGAAGAAGCCCCGGCUAACUUCGUGCCAGCCGCCGCAGUAACAC
rnacentral:rRNA from 1 species